rnacentral:tRNA from 1 species
GCCGGUAUAGUUCAGUUGGUAGAGCACCUGACUUGUAAUCAGGGGGUCCCGAGUUCGACUCUUGGUGCCGGCACCA